UACGUAGGGUGCAAGCGUUGUCCGGAAUUAUUGGGCGUAAAGAGCUCGUAGGCGGUUCGUCGCGUCGGCUGUGAAAUCCCGAGGCUCAACCUCGGGUCUGCAGUCGAUACGGGCGGACUGGAGUUCGGCAGGGGAGACUGGAAUUCCUGGUGUAGCGGUGAAAUGCGCAGAUAUCAGGAGGAACACCAGCGGCGAAGGCGGCGCUCUGGGCCGGAACUGACGCUGAGGAGCGAAAGCGUGGGGAGCAAACAGG
rnacentral:rRNA from 1 species